CAUCCGAGUGCGAAUAAAAAUUGUCAUUGCUAUCAGUGCAACAACAACAAGCUGCAUAUAGAAAGCAUCCAAGGCCAUAGUUCUUCAUUUAGCUUCUGCCCUGCGUGAAACUUCUUGAAUGCAACUAUGAACUUGUCUACAGAAACAUAACAAUGAGGUAUAUUAAAAAAUGGAUACAUACUUCUUGGAGGAAGUCAGCAACGCCUUUUCGUGGAGGGCACCUAAAACCGCAAUGUUCAAAGAACUCUUGAAC